AUAAGGGCUGAGGAGAGGGUAAGAAGAUUCACUGAUUUGGGCGGAUUCAGGGAUGUAGGAGUAUUCUACAAGAUUUUCAAUUUUAUUAGUAGUAUGAGAAGUGCAAGAUUUCGGUAAAGAAAGGGUGGAAGAAAGAGUAACAGGAGGUGAAGAGGAAGUGGAUGCCAUGAAGGAGAAGUUCUCUCUGCGCCUGAAGUGCUAGAGAUCAAAAUAGAAAAAGCCUUAAAUUAUACCAUUUUGGGCAAGAAAUCGUGAAUUUAGAAAACAUGAAAUUUUCAAGGAUGGGUAUGGCUCUGAUACCAGUUAUGGUGAAGUACGUGGCGUUGUUAUACCAGAACUACAACAGUUAAAACUGUUCUUUGGACCAGUAGUCCGCAAGCUCGGGUUUCCAGCCGAUAUACCUCUGUAAUCAAAAACCUUUAAAACAUUUUUCUCAGGUUAUACAACCCAAAACAGACUUUCCUUUAGUCUAAAACAGGGUACCAAACCAGAUAAGAAAUGAUCAAAAGUUUUCUGAUGCACAGGAUCCUUAGAAAAGGCA
rnacentral:lncRNA from 1 species